AUUGAACGCUGGCGGCAGGCCUAACACAUGCAAGUCGAGCGAGAAAGGUCUUCGGACUGAGUACAGCGGCGGACGGGUGAGUAAUGCGCAGGAAUCUACCUGGUAGUGGGGGAUAACUCGGGGAAACUCGAACUAAUACCGCAUACGCCCUACGGGGAAAGCGGGGACCGUUCGGGCCUCGCGCUAUCAGAUGAGCCUGCGUAGGAUUAGCUUGUUGGUGAGGUAAAGGCUCACCAAGGCGACGAUCCUUAGCUGGUCUGAGAGGAUGAUCAGCCACACUGGAACUGAGACACGGUCCAGACUCCUACGGGAGGCAGCAGUGGGGAAUAUUGCGCAAUGGGCGAAAGCCUGACGCAGCCAUGCCGCGUGUGUGAAGAAGGCCCUUGGGUUGUAAAGCACUUUCAAUCGGGAGAAAGGUUGCGUGUUAAUAGCACGUAGCUGUGACGUUACCUUUAGAAGAAGCACCGGCUAACUCCGUGCCAGCAGCCGACGG
rnacentral:rRNA from 1 species